rnacentral:rRNA from 1 species
GACGAACGCUGGCGGCGUGCCUAAUACAUGCAAGUUGAGCGCUGAAGGUUGGUGCUUGUACCUACUGGAUGAGCAGCGAACGGGUGAGUAACGCGUGGAUAAUCUGCCUUUGAGCGGGGGACAACAUUUGGAAACGAAUGCUAUUCCGCAUUAAAACUUUAAACACAAGUUUUCAGUAUGAAAGAUGGCAUUUCCUCACUCAAAGAUGAUCCCGCGUUGUAUUUGCGAGUUGGGGAGGGAAAGGCUCAUCAAAGCGAUGAUACAUAUCCGACCUGAGAGGGGGAUCGGGCACAUUGGGACUGGGACACGGCCCAAACUCCUAAGGGAGGCAGCAGUAAGGAAUCUUCGGCAAUGGACGAAAGUCUGACCGAGCAACGGCGCGGGAGUGAAGAAGGUUCUCGGAUCGUAAAAAUCUGUUGGUAGAGAAGAACGUUGGUGAGAGCGGAAAGCGCAUCAAGUGACGGUAACUACUCAGAAAGGGACGGCUAACUACGUG